UAAGCAAAAGCGGUCGGUCGCAAAAAACUUUUUGUUUUUUGAGGAAAGUCCGGGCUCCAAAGAGCAUAACGCCGUUUUAAACCGGUGAAGGCAACUUUAAGGAAAGCGCAACAGAAAAUAUACCGCCUCUUAAUUACCGUAACGGUAAAGAGGUAAGGGUGAAAUAGCGAGGUAAGAGCUCACUUGGACAUUAUGCAAAUAAUGUCUAUGGCAAGCCCCGUUAGGAGCAAGAACAAAUAGGAAGACCAAGGCUGCUCGUCUUAUACGGUCUUCGGGUUGUUCGCAUAGAGAAAUGACCGGCAUAUACAGAACCCGGCUUACGAUUUUGCUUACGGC
rnacentral:RNase_P_RNA from 1 species